rnacentral:lncRNA from 1 species
AAAAGAGUGUCUGUUUUCUUACAUAUCUUUUAUUUUAAUUUUAUUUCCCCCACAUGAACCUAAUUGUUUGUUGAAUUUUUUUUGCCACAGUUGCAGUAAGUACUCGUUUGACAUGAGCUAUGCUGAGAAGACAAGCACAGAGAGUGUAGUUUUGGGCUUUGGAACUGUGAAGGCUGAAUUUGAAGGUGCUGAAAUGGCUGAGGAAAAUGGCUGCAAGUGUGGAGCAAACUGCAGUUGCGACCCAUGCACCUGCAAAUGAGGUGAAGAUAUAAAGCUUGAAGGAGAUAUAGCUGCAUAUGUACCAAAAGUACACACUUAUAAUAAUUACAAUAAUAAGUAUGUGUUGUGUUCAAUCAACUGGAUUUGAAGUUUCAUAAUAAAAUGGGCAUGG